AGAGUUUGAUCCUGGCUCAGGAUGAACGCUAGCUACAGGCUUAACACAUGCAAGUCGCGGGGCAGCGCAUGGGGCAGCAAUGUCCCUGGCGGCGACCGGCGGAUGGGUGAGUAACGCGUAUCCAACCUGGCCCUAUCUCGGGCACAGCCCCUCGAAAGAGGGAUUAAUUCCCGAUGUUCCCACGGGUCCGCAUGUUCCCGUGGGCAAAGGCAUUUUGUCGGAUAGGGAUGGGGAUGCGUUCCAUUAGGCAGCCGGCGGGUAACGGCCCACCGGGCCUUCGAUGGAUAGGGGUUCUGAGAGGAAGGCCCCCCACACUGGGACUGAGACACGGCCCAGACUCCUACGGGAGGCAGCAGUGAGGAAUAUUGGUCAAUGGCGGCAACGCUGAACCAGCCAAGUAGCCGUGAGGGAUGACGGCCCUACGGGUCUUAAACCUCUUUUGUUGGGGAGCAAACUGCGCCACUGGUGGCGUAUUGCGAGUACCCUUCGAAUAAGCAUCGGCUAACUCCGUGCCAGCCGCCGC
rnacentral:rRNA from 1 species